AGAGUUUGAUCCUGGCUCAGGACAAACGCUGGCGGCGUGCGUAACACAUGCAAGUCGAACGGAGGCAGAAAUGCCUCAGUGGCGGACGGGUGAGGAACACGUGGGUAAUCGACCUUGUGCAGGGGAAUACCGCUUCGAAAGAGGCGCUAAUACCGCAUAGCUUCGAGAGAAGAAAGUCGCGAGACGGCAUGAGACGAGCC
rnacentral:rRNA from 1 species